AUUGAACGCUGGCGGCAGGCUUAACACAUGCAAGUCGAACGGUAACAGGAGAAAGCUUGCUUUCUUGCUGACGAGUGGCGGACGGGUGAGUAAUGCUUGGGAAUCUGGCUUAUGGAGGGGGAUAACGACGGGAAACUGUCGCUAAUACCGCGUAGAGUCGAGAGACGAAAGUGCGGGACCGCAAGGCCGCAUGCCAUAGGAUGAGCCCAAGUGGGAUUAGGUAGUUGGUGGGGUAAUAGCCUACCAAGCCGACGAUCUCUAGCUGGUCUGAGAGGAUGACCAGCCACACCGGGACUGAGACACGGCCCGGACUCCUACGGGAGGCAGCAGUGGGGAAUAUUGCGCAAUGGGGGCAACCCUGACGCAGCCAUGCCGCGUGAAUGAAGAAGGCCUUCGGGUUGUAAAGUUCUUUCGGUAUUGAGGAAGGUUGUUGUGUUAAUAGCACGACAAAUUGACGUUAAAUACAGAAGAAGCACCGGCUAACUCCGUGCCAGCAGCCGCGGUAAUACGGAGGGUGCGAGCGUUAAUCGGAAUAACUGGGCGUAAAGGGCACGCAGGCGGACUUUUAAGUGAGGUGUGAAAUCCCCGGGCUUAACCUGGGAAUUGCAUUUCAGACUGGGAGUCUAGAGUACUUUAGGGAGGGGUAGAAUUCCACGUGUAGCGGUGAAAUGCGUAGAGAUGUGGAGGAAUACCGAAGGCGAAGGCAGCCCCUUGGGAAUGUACUGACGCUCAUGUGCGAAAGCGUGGGGAGCAAACAGG
rnacentral:rRNA from 1 species